CUCAUAGCUCAGUCGGUAGAGCACUAGACUUUUAAUCUAGGUGUCCCGGGUUCGAAUCCCGGUGG
rnacentral:tRNA from 1 species